CGGUGGAGCACGUGGUUUAAUUCGAUGCAAACCGAAGAACCUUUACCGUGGGUUUGACAUACAGGUGGUAGAGCGAAGAGAUUCAAUCGACUCUGCAGUAAUGCAGAGAGCCUGCACAGGUGCUGCAUGGCUGUCGUCAGCUCGUGUCGUGAGGUGUUGGGUUAAGUCCCGCAACGAGCGCAACCCCUACUGCCAGUUGCUAACAGGAGAGCUGAGCACUCUGGCGAGACUGCCGCCGACAAGGCGGAGGAAGGUGGGGAUGACGUCAAGUCAUCAUGGCCUUUAUGCCCAGGGCUACACACGUGCUACAAUGGCCGGCACAGACGGCAGCUUAGUGGCGACACUUGGCAAAUCCUCUAAAGCCGGUCCCAGUUCGGAUUGCAGUCUGCAACUCGACUGCAUGAAGCCGGAAUCGCUAGUAAUCGCAGAUCAGCCAAGCUGCGGUGAAUACGUUCCCGGGCCUU
rnacentral:rRNA from 1 species